AAAUUCCGCAAUGCACGAAAGUGUGACGGGGCUACCCCGAGUCCAUCCGCUGAGGAUGGCUUUUCUUUGGUAUAACUAGCCAGGGGAAUAAGGAGAGGGCAAGACUGGUGUCAGCCGCCGCGGUAAUACCAGCUCUCCGAGUGGUAGGGAUGAUUAUUGGGCUUAAAGCGUCCGUAGCCGGCUUAGCAAGUCUCCUGUUAAAUUCAGCGACCUAAUCGUUGACCCGCGGGAGAUACUACUAGGCUAGGAGGCGGGAGAGGUCGACGGUACUUCUGGGGUAGGGGUGAAAUCCUAUAAUCCCGGGAGGACCACCAGUGGCGAAGGCUGUCGACUAGAACGCGCUCGACGGUGAGGGACGAAAGCAGGGGGAGCGAACCGGAUUAGAUACCCGGGUAG
rnacentral:rRNA from 1 species